rnacentral:rRNA from 1 species
AUCGCGUCGCCCCCCAACACCGUGCAUGAAACAUUGCCAGGUCUUAUGAGGGCGGAAAUUGGCUUCCCGUGCUUCUGUGCGGCUAGCCUAAAUGUGAGUCCCUUGUGACGGACACGACGACAAGUGGUGGUUGAUAUCCUCAGCUAAGGUGUGUCGCGCGUUGACCCGUCGGAUUAGGAGACUUCCCUGACCCUACACGAUCAGUCGUCAUGACGCAUGCCACGACCGC